UUGUCCUUUCCCGCAGUCUAAACUGGGUGAACCGACAAGUUUUUUCAGGGAGCCUAAUCUCGUGUUCAGUACAGGCAUCCUUCGUUGUUAAGGAAGCUGGAACGCCCGAGUGCGGCACCCACCUUAUGAAGGUGGGUUCAUAGAUGACUGCGGGGGAGGAUAUU
rnacentral:other from 1 species